CGCGGGAUGGAGCAGUUCGGUAGCUCGUCGGGCUCAUAACCCGAAGGUGGGUGGUUCAAAUCCGCCUCCCGCAA
rnacentral:tRNA from 1 species